UACAUGGGGUGCAAACGUUGCUCGGAAUUAUUGGGCGUAAAGCGCACGUAGGCGGUUUGUUAAGUCGGAUGUGAAAUCCCUCGGCUCAACUGAGGAAGUGCAUCCGAAACUGGCAAGCUUGAGUACGAAAGAGGGUCGCGGAAUUCCCGGUGUAGAGGUGAAAUUCGUAGAUAUCGGGAGGAACACCGGUGGCGAAGGCGGCGACCUGGGUCGAUACUGACGCUGAGGAGCGAAAGCCAGGGGAGCAAACGGG
rnacentral:rRNA from 1 species